AUCGAGACUAUAAUUAUAAUUAACUAUCGGAUAAUAUGCAAUUACUCCGAAGUCGGAAGGAGAGAGAGGAGAGAGUACGAUCGAUCCGAUCCGAUCCGAGAUCGAAGACUUCGAAUCUUUCUCGUGUUCUUCCGUUUCGGGGGAUGAAUCGAUACCGAUUUGCUCCGCGGAUUCCCCUACGGAUUCGAUUGGUGCCCUUCCCAGGUCCCGGAUGCCGGUGUCCUGAAUCAUCAAGACCAGCGAAUCACUCCGAUCGCGGUUCGGGAACACCGGUCGCGAAUAGUUUACGAGGUCGAGGGUUUUUUUGGGAUCUUAUUUGGAUUUACCGGGUUUAUGAGAAGAGGAUUAAUUAGAUGACAAGAAGCAACGGCGAUUUGAGUCGAGAUCGAGCGCUUCUCGUAUUCUUCUCUGGGUGACACAACUGCGAAGACUUUGAAGAUUUUGUUGUGGUUGAAACUGAUGCGGGUUUCUAAAAACAGCAGAUUGAGGUGAACGGAUUUAUUUGGGGGGUUUCUGCGAUUGAGAGGAUCUUGCAGAGAUUGAUUUUCUUCGUCGAGAGAUAUAUCUAUGGGCCUUUGAAGGUAUUAGUCGCAGUUGAAUGUGAUGAAAAUUCUGGGUUUCCUGAAGCCAGACCGGUAGACUAUUACUAGACCUAAAAGAUUUAGUUGAAGAUUGUGUUAAAAAUUGCAAGAAUUUUAAUGGCCAAGGAUCUUGAGCAGAUCGAAAUAAAUUCAUGAUCUUGGAUAUGGGGAAGCAUCUGGUGCUACGAAUCAAGUGUCAAAUACUGCUAAUGGGGAGAAUAGAGAUCAUGAACUAAAGUUGGCAUGAGCAGCCGACAAAAUAUCAAUGGUACAAAAUUGCAAUUUAUUCAACCUGUAACAGAAGAGUAGAAAAAUGCUGUAUCGGGCAAUGUCUUUGGUGCUUGUUAUCCAUGGAAAGUUAUACCAAGGCUCGAUGGAGUAGAUUUGGGCAUGCCACUCUUUAUAUGCUCGAGCAAGAUUUUUUUUUGUGUUUGAUGUUCAAGAUAAGGCAACUAAACAACUAGUGGUAGAGAUGGGACCUUAUUUUUUUGGCUGUAAGCCUUUGGUUUCAAAGCCUUGGGGACCUGUUUCUGUUAUGAAAGAAGAGAAGAUAAUAUUAUACCUAUACGGAUCAGUUACAAGGAGUGCCUUUGUUCUUUGAUCAGUUUACAUUUAGAAAGGAGAGACUUUUCGUUUGCUUGAAGUUGUGUGGAGAUCAGUUACCUCAAAGCUGUUCAGGUUUUCAAUGGUGAUAUUUGUCGAUCAACCUACUGCUUAUGAAUGGGCACCUUUAAGUUGUAAAUUCUGCAGUUGUUUGGGUGAUAUUUAAUGAUAAAUGUAAGAAGGGGUCUCAAAUUAUUGGUAUAAGGCAGAAGAAGAAAUCUGUUAUCGAUAAUAAUCUUAGAACUAUGCUUUUACAGCAUGAAAUUUGUAACCACUUGGGGUUUCAUAUAUUAACUAUAUCUUCUGCUUGCCAGAUAAGCUUUCAACCGCAUAUAGAAGUAUGGUGCCCUAAAACAAGAUUGCUAUAUUAGUUAUCAGCACUCCCUUCACCAUACCGAGAGAGAGAGAGAGAACCUUGCAUCAAUUUUAUGUGUUUAUUAUACUUCCAUCAAAUGUCCGGAUCUAUUGUGUGAAAGGACUUACCAGUUUGGCUCCUAGUUCUUUUAAAGCACCAGUCAGGUUCAACUCCAUGGCUUUUGCAGACAUUCCAACAAGAGCUAGUAACCAUCCAGCAUCUAGUUUCAAUUCAGGAUCUCCAGCCUCUUUUGCUACUUAUACUUAACAUUAAACAGUUACGUGAAUCCUUGAUGUUUUGGAAGUCCCAGAAAAUUUCCACCAGAUCAAGCUCCAAAAGUGCCUUACAUGUAUAAUCAACCUAUAAGAAAGGAUGGGUACAGCACAAGGUUUUCUCAUGGGGACUAUAGAAGGGUUACAUUUACAAGAAAAAUCCCAGUUAUGCCUCUAAUUGCUGACAGAGCUGAUGCUACUGAAUACCAUCAAACUGGAAGUUUUUUCAACUGUCCCUCUUCAUCUUGCUCAGAUAGCACAAAUGUUAUUUCAAGUACUGAAUGCUUGUUUUGGACACCAUAAACAUGCUAGCCAGCUACAGGAAUGAUAAAAGCAAUUAUAUUGUUGGCGAUGGACUGCAGAAGAAAUCAAUACUUUGGCAUAAUGACGAAUAUCAUUCUCAAUUCAUGUCAACUUGGUUCUUUGCUUCAAGAAAUAUAACUUAUGAUUUUUAUUCAACCUAUAAGACUUCUGAUCCAAGACUGACAGAAUGGUGGAACCAUUUUGUUGCACCCAUGGAACCCCAGUGACAGGUUACAUCCUCAGGUUAGUCACCUUAGAAUAGUUGGUUAAACGAUUUUGUUGUUAGGUUAUGUGUCUUAUUUAUACUUUUAGUUUGUGUUCAUGAGCUGAACCAGCUCACGACAAGAGGCAUGUUAAUGGUGGUACCAUGGUGAUACUGCAUAUUUUCUCCAUUUCAAUCAGAACAGAAAUGCAAGUGGUCAUCUGCCAGCUUUUCAAUGUCCUUCCAUCCGAGUUAUGGUGCCAGCUCAAAGUGGCCACACCCAGAUGGUAAUCCCUUAUAACACCAUUUCAAGCUAUUCAUGCACGGGGGUUGUCGAUUCCAGA